AACAAAUCAACUUUUCAGUUUUUAGAUACAAUGUUUAACUCUCGUCUUAUUCAAAAAAAAUUUACAAUUAAUAAUUUUAUUUUUUUUAAAUGAUAAAACAUGAAUAGUACCUUAUGUGUGACUAAUUUUUUUAAAAUUUCUUGAAAAUUUUUCAAAUAAAACAGAUGGUCAAAUGCUCGACACAAAAACCGAGAAGUUGGUUUUGUG
rnacentral:pre_miRNA from 1 species